AUGGAUGGAUGGAUGGAUUUUAUGAGCGUCCCCUUGGAAAUGGGUUGUGGGUUGCGCCACCAAGCCCUUGUUAUUAUUUUGCCUAAUGUCCUACCUUUAUUUUUGAGAAACAUACAAUAAUUCCAAUUAACACCCUUUUUGAACCAUUACUGGGAACUUUGCUUCUGUACGUCUCCAUUACCAGGGUCCGUGAUGCCAGCGCCACAUGUGUGUAUCUCUGACACUAUUAUGAAUAAACCAGUCUUUGUUCGUCUACGAUACAUGUCUGACGCAGCGCAAUACGUGGUGCCGGGGUGUCAAAUGUGGGAUCAGCUAGGCCUAAAAUUUUCUUCGUCCCGAGUCCCGGGGAGGCAGUGUAUCUUUCGCUAAACAUGGAUAGACUGAAGGCUUCCGACCCGUUGCAUUUCGCCGGCAACACGGCAGAAAACUGGAGGUGUUUCAAGCAGCGACUCGAGAUAUUUAUGAUAGCGACUGAACCAUCGACCGAGCGCACUGAUAACAGGUUGCCCUGCUGCGUCACGUCACCGGUGAGCAAGCCGUCGAAGUUUACUACACCUUCCGUUUCGAAGAGGGGCCUUCAUAUGCUGAUGUGUUGGGGAAAUUUGAGGAACACUGCUCCCCGUUAAAGAAUGAAACGUACGAGAGGUACGUUUUUUGCAUCCGUGCGUUUGUGGCAUAGACACAUCGUCCAGGUGUCCAGGUAGUGCAACAGAGUGCCUAAUAUAUAUGUUUCAACGCGUAUUGGCACAUUCUAUUAUGCAAUGCCAACAACGCCAACGACACCGAAAGACAACGACGCCGAAGGGAGAUCAAGUCUGUGUCGCACGGGACCCUGCCUACCGUUCAUUUUGGAACGCCGAUGAGACUCAAAGACGACGCCUCCCGACCUCGCCUGCCUCGGUAGAGUGGAGGGUAGAGGAGGAGGAGAGCGCACUACGGGCGAGGAAGAAAUAGGCAACGCCAACGAGGAAUCCGGUCGUCCACAGUGAAGUGCUUGCCCCUCACUGGGAUCCCUUCGCCCUCCUAUACAGCUGAGCUGGUCGUGGCUGGCUCAGGGGCCCAGAAGCUGAGGGCACUAGUGGUGACGACCGAUGGAGUACUCAACAUUUGUACAAGUUGCAAGGAUGGGAGUGUUAAUGCCUUGGUGGCAGGAGGUUCAAGAGACCACUGCUUCAGCUGGUUCUGCACAGAUGAAGAUGGGGCCUUACCACUCGGAGUUGUCUCACUUCCUGCUCUGCUAGCCUCACUGGCAGCAGUUGUGGUCUGCAAUGACACCCAGGACAGCUUGCCAGUGUCUCCUGCACCAAUUUCCCAGAACUCAGCUGCACUCCUAGUCGACAGAUUGCAUGUGCUUUAGGACCAGCUGUUGUCCAGCUCCUGCCAGCUGCUACGUCAACUUAUAUGUCAAGUGAUACUGCAAGGGGUGUGUGUGUGGUUCGUCAUUGGCAUAUGUCCAGUGAUACGUCAACCGAUGCCAGUGUCAAGUAGUCUGACGACUGCCGUGCCACAACAGAAGUUACAGCCCUGGGCUUGCUCCGUUUGCCCCAGUCCUCACGACCCUUACUUGGACUCGGGCUGCUGCUGGCAGGAUGCGUAGCAGCAGUUUGGAACCUUGGGGUGGUCUAGUAAAUUGAUCGGGGCUGCUGACUUGCAAAGGAAUUGUCUGUUCUGUCAUGCUGACUUGCAAGGGGCGUGUGUGUUGUAUGGUCAUUGGCUACUAUGUCUGAAGACUGGCAGGUGGUUGAGCCUUUCCGAGACCACUUGUAUGAAUUCUGCACUGGCCUAGUGGAUGUAGUGCCAAAGCUUCUUUGCUGUGGUCUCAUAGCUCAUAGCCUGGUCGUCGCUUGUGGGGGUAGGCGGAGGGCUCUACCGUGUGCGCUUGGAUAGAUGUUGGUUUGGCCGGUACCCAGCAUUGUAUUGACCUGAAGGCCGCCGAUAAUGACUUUCGUAAGAAGGGUCUAGGUUUAGCAGACUUCUGGCCUCUGAUCAUCUGAGCGAGCCUUACCACGACAUGGUGUUCGUGUUAAGGCUUUUGAUCUAUUCUUAAGCUAGAUGGAGGCACGCGAACAAACUGUAAUAAGGGGCGAGUUCAUGUCAUUGAAAGAGCCACUAGUAACAGGAGUUCCGCAAGGAUCUGUAUUAGGGCCUUUAUUAAGCAUGAAAUGAUUUUAGCUCUUGUUGUCGGCAACCUUCAAUAGACCUUAGCCAAAAGACGGCUGUUAUCAGGCACUCAAACGAGAGCAUCCGGGCAACCACUCAAAAGUUAAGAAAAUUAGGUCUCUGGCCCCAACCUUUUGUACGGGACCGCAUAACAUAAUUUAGUUACUUCCUAAACAAGUUACAAGAAUAUUGCUUCCGAGUUCUUCCUAUUGUUUGUUCACAAUAUCACUGGAGCUGUAAAUUCUAGUGCGUUUUAUUUGUCAUUUCCAAUAGCGAUGUUCAAUUAUGUUCAAUUAUGUAUGCUGAUGAUACAUACAUUGUAUUAACAGCCAAAAAUCUUACAGAAUUGGAGGCAAAGUAUACGCUGAGCUAGACAGAAUUGGCAGAUGGUUUUCGACUAACAAGCUCAUUGUCGAUACUAGAAAAACAAAUUAUGUUGUGUUCCAUUCUCAAAAAAAAAAAUAAAAAAUCUGUAUAGCCACAGUGGAACUAUUAAUAACUGCCUUCUGGAGCCAACUAAUUCAUAAAGAUACCUUUGAGUAGUUUUUGAUAGGAAUAUGCACUGGCACGAGAUCAGGGCUGUUUGCACCAAAAUAGCAUGUGGAUGUUAUGCAUUGGUACAAACACGGAACAUUUUGAAAUCAAUAUAUUGCGCAUUGGUGUACUUUGCCUUAAUUUACAUCUACUUAUUACACUGUAUUGUAUACUGGCGAUGCACUUAUAAAAUUUAUAUUGAUCCGAUAAAAAUAUUUUUAAAACGCGCAGUUAGAAUAAUGACACAGUGUACCUUCACCGCUUGAAGCAAACAUUUGUUUUUUCAGAUCAGAAUUUUACCGUGUGAUCAGCUACGCGACUUACGGAUUGCAGAGUGUGUAUGUAACGUCGUAAUGUUUAGCCAUCCCUUUCCGGCUGCUCUGCUUCACACAUCAGCCCACCCCACUAGAAAUGUUACAUUAGGCAACUUUGAUCUUCCUCCUAGUAGCAAUAUUUAUGGUCAAACUGUACUAGAAUUUCUUGGUGUAAAAAUA